AUUUUUGGAUAAUCGCGUGGUAGGAUACUAUCAUGAGGAAAGUCCAUGCUAGCACUGGCUGUGAUGCCAGUAGUGUUUGUGCUAGGCGAACAAAUAAGCCUAGGGACAUCUUUGUAUGUUACGGCGGUCAAACGAGCUAAGUCUUUGAUAUGCUUUAGUAGGCCUGAAAGUGCCACAGUGACGAAGUUUUUAUGGAAACGUAAAAAAUGGAACGCGGUAAACCCCACAAGUUAGCAACCCAAAUUUUGGUCGCNNGGAACAAAACAUGGCUUACAGAA
rnacentral:RNase_P_RNA from 1 species